rnacentral:tRNA from 1 species
UCCUGGUGGCUUAGUGGUAAAGAAUCUGCCUUCAAUGCAGGAGACCUGGGUUUGAUCCCUGGGUCAGGAA